rnacentral:lncRNA from 1 species
AUGAACUAUGGUGCAAUGGGUUUCCUACUUGCCAAAGACAUCCUCCAUCUACUUCUGCCUAAGAUUUACUCUCAGAGUGAGACGGUGCAUGCUGUGGGGGAAUGUGUGUGGGCUCACUACCUGACAGUGACUGAGAGAGCAGGCAGAGGUGGAGCAUUUUCGCUCUCAGCAGCUCAGCAGCAGGAGGUGUGGGUGCAGUAUUCUGCACUGCAGGUAGCACUGCAGGCUUACCAUCAGAGUCUAAAGCAGCAACCCGUUGACACUUCCAUCUCGGGGCUGUCACACACUCGUCUCUUCCUCACGUCUUUUUCACAGAUUAACUGUGACUCUGACCCAUUCCGUGAAUUCAUGCCCAUGGAGCCCUCCUUCCUGAUCACAGUGAUUUGUGCCAAAUCUAACCUGUGUUCUACAGGUUUACAAUGCUCCAUUAAGACUCAGAAUUCAUUACAAACAUGCUGAACAAUCUCCUCAAAGGACAAACAGGACUCCAUCUACUUAAUAAUAUAAUAAUAUGGGGGAUGGGGACAUUUUCAAACUGUUGUUAUAAAAAAGUUUCUCUAACAUAAGUGUUUUUACAGUAUGUACAUUUUUUGUAUUUGCCCUAGAUAUUGUUGUUAUGAUUACCUAAAUGUUGCAUUGAUUGCACGAGCUGUAUAAUACUAAUUUAAAUUUCAAUAUAUGUGGAAAAAAUAUUUUAAACAGCACAAUAACAAAUAAUAUUAUAUACGUGUCCCCCGCCCCACCUUCUCCCUCACCC